AAAGUGUGUGGAGAGGCUGUCAGGAAAAGCCGCUAUUGUGUAUCAUGAACCCGUACCGUAAACCGACACAGGUGGAUGAGGAGAGAAUCCUAAGGCCGACGGAAGAAGCAUUGUUAAGGAAUUCGGCAAAAUGACCCCGUAACUUCGGGAGAAGGGGUGCCUGCGCAAGCAGGUCGCAGAGAAUUGGCCCAAGCAACUGUUUAGCAAAAACACAGGUUUAUGCGAAACCGAAAGGUGAAGUAUAUGAGCUGACGCCUGCCCGGUGCUGGAAGGUUAAGGGGAGUGCUUAGACUUUAGUCGAAGGUGCGAACUUAAGCCCCAGUAAACGGCGGCCGUAACAAUAACGGUCCUAAGGUAGCGAAGUUCCUUGUCGGGUAAGUUCCGACCCGCACGAAAGGCGUAAUGAUUUGGGCGCUGUCUCGACAAUGCAUCCGGUGAAAUUGAAGUACCAGUGAAGAUGCUGGUUACCCGCGCCAGGACGGAAAGACCCCAUGGAGCUUUACUCUAGUUUGAUGCUGGGAUUCGAUACUGCAUGUACAGGAUAGGCGGGAGACUGAGAAGUAGUGACGUCAGUUGCUACAGAGUCGCUGUUGGGAUACCGCCCCUGCAGUAUUGGGUUUCUAACCUGCGGCCGUAAGCCGGUCGGGGGACAACGUCAGGCGGGGAGUUUGACUGGGGCGGUCGCCUCCGAAAGGGUAUCGGAGGCGCUCAAAGGUUCCCUCAGAAUGGUCGGAAACCAUCCGAAGAGUGCAAAGGCAGAAGGGAGCUUGACUGCGAGACCGACGGGUCGAGCAGGUACGAAAGUAGGACUUAGUGAUCCGGUGGUAUGAAAGUGGGAUUGCCAUCGCUCAACGGAUAAAAGCUACCCUGGGAUAACAGGCUUAUCACUCCCAAGAGUUCACAUCGACGGAGUGGUUUGGCACCUUGAUGUCGGCUCAUCGCAUCCUGGGGCUGUAGCAGGUCCCAAGGGUUGGGCUGUUCGCCCAUUAAAGCGGUACGCGAGCUGGGUUCAGAACGUCGUGAGACAGUUCGGUCCCUAUCCGGCGCGGGCGUAGGAUAUCUGAAAGGAGCUGGCCUUAGUACGAGAGGACCGGGCUGGACGAACCGCUGGUUCACCUGUUGUCAUACCAAUGGCAUAGCAGGGUAGCCAAGUUUGGAAGGGAUAAACGCUGAAGGCAUCUAAGCGUGAAGCCCCCCUUAAGAUAAGAUAUCCCUGGAGUAAUCCAGUAAGACCCCUUGAAGACGACGAGGUAGAUAGGGCAGAGGUGGAAGUGUGGUAACACAUGCAGCUGACUGUCACUAAUAGGUCGAGGGCUUGACCG
rnacentral:rRNA from 1 species